rnacentral:rRNA from 1 species
UACGUAGGGUCCGAGCGUUGUCCGGAAUUAUUGGGCGUAAAGGGCUCGUAGGCGGUUUGUCGCGUCGGGAGUGAAAACACCGGGCUUAACUCGGUGCUUGCUUUCGAUACGGGCAGACUGGAGGCAUGCAGGGGAGAACGGAAUUCCUGGUGUAGCGGUGAAAUGCGCAGAUAUCAGGAGGAACACCCGUGGCGAAGGCGGUUCUCUGGGACGGUACUGACGCUGAGACGCGAAAGCGUGGGGAGCGAACAGG